rnacentral:lncRNA from 1 species
CAUGCUAUAUGCAACACGAAUAUAUGCAACAACUAGUAGAAUUAUUGAUUCUACAAUCAAUCUCACUAAUCUUAGCUCAUGUCAUCCAACUCUAAGGUUUCUACUACCUUAGGUUAUCACAUUUACCACUAGCCCUCAAGGUUCUAUCUACCUUAUUCCAGCUAGCCACCCGACUCGGCCUCGAGUCAAUCAACGGCGGAUAAUCCGCGCUCUGCCCGGCUCGAGGUGAAGGAUCCUGUCGCAUGCACCUCAGCCUGCAAGCCAAGAACCACAUCGCCCAACGGUCCGCCCGAAGGUCCGUGCACCGUGGUCAGGGAUCCGCUAGUGGGAGAGGAAACAUAGCCGCGUACACCCAUAGCCAAGAUCCCCGAUAGGGAGAGGAACAUGCCGUACACCCUAGCGCUCUUUGUUCUUGCUUAGUCAUAAUCCUCAAAGUUCUUUCCGGUGGGAGAGGAACAUCGCCGCAUACACCCGCGGUCCAAGAACUAUUGAGUUCACAAGUACUGGGAUUCCGGAAUCGACUUCACAAGUCAAGGGUCCAUAUCCAACCCUAUACUAUUGACCUAUCUAGGUCCAAUGCACUUUCCACCCUAGGUCCAACUGACUCUAGGUCUAAUGCCUCAAUUUCACAACCUAGGUUUACCUUAACUCUAGGUUCAGUUCUCAACCUAUGUUCUUUAACACUAGGUUAGAUGCCACACACCUAGAUCCCGACUCUAGGUUCAUACUCAACCUAUGUUCUUUAACACUAGGUUAGAUGCCACUCGUUAUUUAUCCUAGGUUCAACAACACUAGGUUCAAUGUCAUCUAUGUUCGACCUAUGUUUAUUAACACUAGGUUAAUGCCACUCGAUCUACUUGAUAUCCUAUUUGUCAUAUCGAGUCCAUAUGCACAUGCAUCUUAUCUAACAUGCUCACAUGAUGUUACAUGCACCUAGCAUACAUUCCAAUGCACACAUACAUAUCACUUGCAUUAUCACUAGCAUGUAUUCUAUAUCAUAUCAUUUUACAUGGAUCUACUUAGCAUUUGCAUCAUAUUAUUAACAUGCAUUAUUUACAUUUAUAUGCAUCAUCUAUAUGCCUCAUUUACAUUCAUAUGCAUCAACGUGGAUUCUUAAUCAUCUUAGACAUAAAGGGCGACCUAGUCGCUUCGGUAAACACAACCCACCUUAACUCGCGUUCCGAUUGCUCGUCGACACUUGCAAUCGGCCUCCCGCGGCACCCGUGACCCGGUUCGGCUCGAACUCUUGCGCGACCACCCGAACGGCCACCAAUCCGCGAUCCGUCUAUUCUGGAGUUUAUUCCACGACACCACGAUGCUCCCGAUCCGUUCUCAUGAUUUUUGGAGGCUUAUUCCGCGUGCUGCGGCUAUCUGUACCAAAACAGACCGUUUCGUCAAUAACUUCGCGUACACUCGUCGUAUCGUCGAACCGAGCGCACCAACGCGUUCGUUAUACCCCCAAUUAGGUUUACAGAGGGUUAAAUGAGAUCAAACCCAUCUAUUUACAAAAAUCCCAUUUUUGAUGCCCUAGUUUGCGACUACGGCAAAAACCACCAUUCGAACUCUAGAUUCAAGCAUUAAACGUCUAUUAAGCUUGCUAGAACACUAAUCAAACCAUUUCUAGAGCAUUUAGACCUAUUUCUAGAGAUCUACCAUGAGAGGGAGUAGCAAGCUUACCUCUCAAGCUAGCCCAAUGGAGAGGAAGAAGAUGAGAAGAUGAAGCUCCACCUUGCUCUUCUUCUUCUCCACCAUCUCCUUCUCCUCCUUCUUCUUCUUCUUCUUCCCCUUCUUUUCUUUCUAGAGAGAGAGAGGGAGGGUUUUGGGUUCACACGGUUGAGGGAGAGGGAGAGAAAGACCUAAUCCCCCAUUCUAUACACUCUAAUAAGUGCAAAAUUGCACUUAAGCCCCUCAACAAGCCUCUUCUUGCAACAGCCCGAACUGGGCAUUUUCGGGGUUCGGGGACCGGUCUCUGCAUGAGGGACCGGUCUCUGAGAGACCGGUCUCUCUACCUGGGACCGGUCCCAGAGAGACCUCCAGCCCAGACUUAGCCAAUUUUCAGCUUCGUCCGUUUUCGCUCCGUUUUCGCCCGUUUUCGUUCGUUUGACCUCCGAUUCGUCUCAAAUCGAACCGAGACUCUCCAAACAUGUUUUCAAACAUGUUUUCAUCAUCUUUCCAUCCUCGCUAAUGCCGGAUUUAGCUCACGGCCCAAGUUAGCCUUUCGGGUUCCGUUUUCGCGCUUAUGCGCACCGAAACGCCCGAUUGCUCCAGAACUCCACCGAACUUCACCGGAACCAUUCGAAUAGCUCUCCAAUUGAAUGUACACCAUAACUUAAUAGUUUUAGAAGUCCGGUACCUUACAUCCUCCCCUCCUUAAAAGGAGUUUCGUCCUCGAAACUAACUCACUUCAACCCAAUUAAUACUCUAACUCGGUUUAUCGAGCAAUGGGGGAUUCCAAUGCACUUUUGUGCUCCGGAGUGAUCUUUUACUCAUUGGAAUUAUCCAAAGGCCCACUACGGAGGAUGUGAGACUAGAUUCACUCACAUUUGCUAAGCAUAACCCCGAAAGCGCAUUACAGGUCUCCGCCAUUCUUGUGGUAGCGCAAGUCGAAGCUCAACGACUCCACGCGCUCCAACACCAUUUUCCAUCUGGCAUGCAAGAACUCUUCUCUGCAUCCCACACCUUAUCAGGGAACACACUCCGAUUCGAUUACCGGCAUUGCUUAAAAGCAAUAUCAUCGGUGCCUCGACCAAUCGCGAGUGCUCCAACUACAUAUGGAUCUUUGCUCUAUCGCGAGAUGGCCUACCCCGGCAUAUCUCGACUCUUAAUCCACAAGAGAGCAUCGUCCACAACUCCAUGUGGCUAUCCGGUAUUCAAGUGUCUCCAAGAGACCAAUUUCCUUUAUCUCUCAAUGGCCACUUCUAAUCUCAAAUCGCUCAACCACGAGAUGGCCUACCACGGCACAUCUCUCAAACCUCAAUCCACGAAAGAGCGUUAUCUCCAAGUUUUCCAACAUAACCCAGUCUGCCUGGGCAAGUUUCAAGCUCGGGGACCGGUCUCUCCCUGCCUGGGACCGGUCCCAGAGGGACCUCCUCAAUCUCACGUGUUCGGGAACCGGUCCCUCUGGCCUAGGGACCGGUUGCCUCGCGCUUGCCACAGCCCUCAGCCUCGGGGCAACCGGUCCCUCCCUCCUGGGACCGGUCCCCGAGAGCAAGCUCGCGUAGACAACGUUCGGGAACCGGUCCCUCCCGCCAGGGACCGGUCCCCGAGAGCAAGUUUGCCAAGUGCAAAUUCUUGCACUAUUUGCUCUCGCGGACUCCAUUGUAAUGCACUUUUGGUGCAUUUGACUUCUUCGGCUUUCACGAAGCACCCCCACUCGACAAUUAGUCGAUUUUGAGUGAAGUCCAACUCUCGCAUUUUGAGAAUUCACUUCCCUUGCACCAACUCCUCCAUGGAGUUAUCGGCUAAACCGAUUACGUCGGCUUCCACAGGUGGACCAACGGUCACCAACACCACGUAGGCCUACUGCCUAAACCCGUCGCAACUACGCAUAGCGUCCCUCGCUCGCAUCGUAGACCUAAUCAUCAUCAGGCGACAUUCUCAUUGGAGAAUUCGCACACACUCCAACCAGGAGCAACCAAGACCCCAAACCACAUCAUGUCCUCGGGUUGGGUCACCACACACUCGGUGUGUCCUCAAUCUCACGAUCUAACACGUGGCAUUCCACGUACUCGGGUCCAAGCUUGGACUACCGUCCUGACCAAUCUCUGUCCUACCCGUAGGUACCGGGCCGCUGCCUCUCGCAGCUGACUGCGCCUGCCCAAUGGGCCCAGGCUCCACAGUCCACAAAUGGUCCAGGCACGGAUCGUCCCCAAGCACUACCCGCCAACGUCGUCCUACACGACAUGCUCUGCAGAGCUACACACUCUACCGGCUCCUAAGUACCUAGUGCGAGCCACCAGCCCUCACGAGUGAUCCAUGGCCCGCUUCACACUUAGCCCUGCUGAAGUGCUACUGCCAAUUCACUCGACCGGCUGAAUCAAAACCGCACUUCACGAGUAUCUAUACUCGAGCGCUCUAUGCCUCUACGACGUCUCACACGAAGUCCAGCAUCAGGGAGCUUAGCCCAUGCGCACCGGCCACACGAGCAACAACUCGUCCACCUCAAUUCGAGGUACUACUAGGCCCACAGGCCAAACUUGGCCUCAACCAACCGCUCUCUCAACAGUGAUUCUACUCUCACUGUUCGAUCUACCGAAAUAAUAUCCGAGAUGCUCAGGCCACUCGGGUAUUCGCAACGUCACGGCGCAACUCUCGCAAUUCGAUACUCAUUGCCUUGAGAGUCGCUCCACCAUUUCACGUUCACCACGAGUCCCAUUCUUCGUCCAAGAACCAUCGCUAGCGAUUUGCUAGUACUACUUGGCUUUCUGCCUGCUCCCGCAGGUGCUACACUCUUACAAUGCAAGCAUGCUCGGGUGCUUACCUACCCGUCCACUCGGUCCCUACUAUGCAAUAUGUAAUUAGUAGGUGCUGAUCAUAUGAUAAAUGCAUGCAAUGCAUCAAUUUGAGAUUACGCAAAAGCAUAUGCUUAUGUAAUUAACUCAUACCUGCAACGGCAUCAUCGAUGGCAGCAGGUUCAUCAACCUGGGUCGCAUAUCCCUGGCCACUUGGUGCUCGCCGCGAACCCUCCGGUUGCAUCGUCCUCAACGGCCGCUCCCCCGACCAUGCCGCAGGUGGCACACCUGCAGGCUGUCCCAGAGAGGAAUGGGCCGUCGCUGGCCUCAAGGCCUGACUCUCACCUCGCGGGCACUCGUCCCGCAUAUGGCCUGGCUGUCCACAACGGAUACACCGUCCAUCACGCAGCGCACAUCGCCGCGCCUGGUGGGAACCGCCACAAAUCACACAUCCGGAGGAGGAUCGGGUAGAGGACGACCUCGAGCGGUGUCUGGAACUCGACUGACCACCCGAACCACUCGAUAAUGGCCUCGCCCCUCCUCGCUCAUGCCUACGAGAUUCGCGCUCCUCACGCACGAAAGCCUCGCCAUGCUCUGCCCACAAUGCUCGGUCCAACACCUUCGCAAAGGUUGUGAGCUGGAAGAUUUGCACCCUCCUAUAAAUCUCCGGUCGAAGUCCACGCAGGAACCAAUCGGCCUUAUCCUUGUCAUCCCGUACCACAUCCGGGACACAAUUCACGAUACGGGAGAAUUCCCGUUGGUAUUCCCUUACAGAGCGGUCUCCUUGCCGCAGCUUUCUGAACUUGUCCCGAAGCUUUCUCCUUUCAGUGUCGGGGAAGUACGUAGAAAACACUAAUCCCCGAAAUUCAUCCCACGCCAUAGGAGGAAGACUAGGCGAUCGAUCCCGUCGAAUGCCUUUCCACCACGCCUUUGCUGAUUGCUUCAAGCAAUGCACAGCUAGGGGCACCUUGUCCCGCUCCAAGGUGUAUAGCUCCUCGAAGAGCGUUUUCAUGGAGUCAAUCCACAUCUCCACGAUCCACGGAUCGACAUUCUCUCCAUCGAAAGUAGGCGGAUCAAAUUCCUUGAAAGUCAUUAGGGCCGCCAAAGUCCGUUCUUUCUCCGCCUCCAAUUCCACAGAACCAGGGGCUACCGCCCGCGAAUCCAUCGCGACUCCUGUCGGUGCACGGCACGCUGCCACCGGUGUAGUCACCGCAGGCUGUCGUGUCAACAAUUCAUGGAGCUCCUUGAUCUGCUCCUCCUGUCGCUGCACGAUGCCCAUGAGCGUAUUCAAUUGCUCGCGGAGCAUCGGGUCUUCGCUCGCCUCAGCUUGCUCAGGAACACUUGUCCCUUCCCGCGCCGAUCUGGAUAAGGAUCGCCUACGCAGUGCCAUCGCUUCCUGAAACACGACAACUCAAUUAGUUCUCGACCAACUUAGGUCGAACACGAGACCACUAACAACGGCUCAAAAGCCAAUCAGGCGAAAGUCACGCGAGGGCGUCUAUUCUCAUCACUAGGUUUCAUGUUGUCGUACGCCAACAUGAACAUCCUCGGCUGAAAAUAAACCACACCUCAAGUCUACCUCUAAUAUCCAUCUUAGAGGUUUACGACACAACCCAAUCCGUUAAUCUUUCGCCACAAAUCAUAAGUCCUCGUCUCUCACGAGCCUUAUUCUCCUAUGGUUUCCUAUCCUAGGUCUCCUAGGUCCGACUAAACCAUUUCCCAUUCUCUACUUUAUGCUCUGAUACCACUUUACCUGUCACGCCCCGAGACCGCUCCCAAUUUGGUCCGGUUCGGGCACGCCGACAGACCGCCGAACGGACCGGGGUUUCCCCUGUACGCGGACAGAGUCUCCCCUGUACGUUCUAGGCGUCGCAAUCCAAACAAUGUACAUUACAAUGGUUCCAACCAGGAACAGAUAUCAAUCAUGAUUGCGUAAGGAAGUAUCAAACAACAUAAACACAUCCUAUGUUAUUACAACAUUCACAUUAGAUUCAUUUACUUACAUCACACUUUAUAUAUUACAUUCAACUUCCAAAUACAAUCUAAGCUAUUACAAGUUUAAUACAUUUUAUUCCUUUCAUUUUCUAUACCCCUAAGCUACGCCGACGGGGUACUGCUAGCUCUGGUCUCUGGGGGUAGGGCGCUAUCUAUGGAGCUACGCCCUUGCCUCGCGCCGCCGCGCCGCUCACGUGCGAACCUGUAAAACCCCAAAACAACGUGGGGUGAGAACCAACUCCAUGGUUCCCAGUGGGUACGGCCACCCAAGGGAGGAGCUCGACCAACAGGUCCAAGGGAGGCAAAUACAAGUUAGUCCAAUAAACAGAUAGAUAUGUAUAUCAUAAACAUGCAACUAACUUUACCUUGCUUUGCCUCACAACUGCAAUGAUGUCAUGCUAUAUGCAACAGGAAUAUAUGCAACAACUAGUAGAAUUAUUGAUUCUACAAUCAAUCUCGCUAAUCUUAGCUCAUGUCAUCCAACUCUAAGGUUUCCACUACCUUAGGUUAUCACAUUUACCACUAGCCCUCAAGGUUCUAUCUACCUUAUUCCAGCUAGCCACCCGACUCGGCCUCGAGUCAAUCAACAGCGGAUAAUCCGCGCUCUGCCCGGCUCGAGGUGAAGGAUCCUGUCGCAUGCACCUCAGCCUGCAAGCCAAGAACCACAUCGCCCAACGGUCCGCCCGAAGGUCCGUGCACCGUGGUCAGGGAUCCGCCAGUGGGAGAGGAAACAUAGCCGCGUACACCCAUAGCCGAGAUCCCCGAUAGGGAGAGGAAUAUGCCGCAUCCACCCUAGCGCUCUUUGUUCUUGCUUAGUCAUAAUCCUCAAAGUUCUUUCCGGUGGGAGAGGAACAUCGCCGCAUACACCCGCGGUCCAAGAACUAUUGAGUUCACAAGUACUGGGAUUCCGGAAUCGACUUCACAAGUCAAGGGU